rnacentral:piRNA from 1 species
UCAGUAUCUAUUGUCCAUGGACUCACAAC